UGGGUGGAUCCUUGGACUCCUUUGCCGUCAGGGGACAGCCUGUGAUACAGUGGAAUGGAAGCAGAUAGAAGCGGCGUAAGUUCCGACAAGAUGGAAGCUCUCAGCAGUUCCUGUUCUAGCACCAUGCCUGCCUCCCUGUGACGAUGUUCUCACCACCCUCUCCACCAUGAUAGUCAUAGACUCACUCUCUGCAACUGUUCUGCUUGGGCUCUUAGAAUCACCAGUGAAACCAUGUGUUCACAAGCCUCUGGGAUGACAGAAGAGCAAGC